rnacentral:antisense_RNA from 1 species
GAUGAAAAAGCGUAACCGCGUUUUUUCAUUACCAAUCGGAGCAGGCUGACUGGACUUUACAAUUUGAAAACGGUAUUGGGAAUAAACAGCACUGGUGCGUCCGAGUGGCCUCGAACCACCGACCCCCACCA